rnacentral:rRNA from 1 species
GCAGUGGGGAAUCUUGCGCAAUGGGCGAAAGCCUGACGCAGCGACGCCGCGUGCGGGAAGAAGGCCUUCGGGUUGUAAACCGCUUUCAGGAGGGACGAAGCCACUCGGGUGAAUAGCCCAGAGGGUGACGGUACCUCCAGAAGAAGCCCCGGCUAACUACGUGCCAGCAGCCGCGGUAAUACGUAGGGGGCAAGCGUUGUCCGGAUUUAUUGGGCGUAAAGAGCGUGUAGGCGGCCAGACAGGUCCGUUGUGAAAACUCGAGGCUCAACCUCGAGACGUCGAUGGAAACCGUCUGGCUAGAGUCCGGAAGAGGAGUGUGGAAUUCCUGGUGUAGCGGUGAAAUGCGCAGAUAUCAGGAAGAACACCUAUGGCGAAGGCAGCACUCUGGGACGGUACUGACGCUGAGACGCGAAAGCGUGGGGAGCGAACAGGAUUAGAUACCCGAGUAGUC